GGCCUCGUGGCCCAAUGGCAAGGCGUCUGACUACGAGUCCGAUCAGGAGAUCGGUUCACUAAAUGUAAUCAGGAGAUUCUGGGUUCGACCCCCAGCGAGGUCA